AGAGACUGCAGUUUAUGCAAACAGAAUGAGUACAGGUACUAAUCUAAAUAUCAUAAUCUGUAGGUAUCUCCAUAUUAAUAGCUGGUGAUAUAAAAAAAAAUUGUAGGAAUUGUAGGAAACUGAUUUUUUUUGUGCAAAAAUAUGGCAAAAAUAGAUGAUUUAGGCAGAUUUGCCAACUCUGCUAUAGUCACAUCUCAAUUUGGGUUUAGAUUUACUAAAAUUGUUAAGUCUAUUACCUUCAGUGGGAUUUGUGAAUUAUAAAAUAAAGAAUGCUUGCAAAUUCCCUAUCUAUUGUGCUUCUCUAGACUGGGUACUCAUUGACUAUGAGUACUUAUUGAAUAUAACCCUUUACUAGCAAAUUCUUCUAAUUGUAACAAAUAGAAAAUUAAAUUUAUUCAAAAAAAAUAAACUUUCAGCUAGCACAUUAACAUAGGAAAAAAAUAGCAAUUUUGAGUACAACUUGCUGUUCUGGAAUGCCUAAAAAUUUAAAUUAUGUUAAUACACACAAUCAUUUUUUUUUUAAAUGUAUUUUCUUUUAUAUAUAAAUAUAACAGUAAUGUAUUUUAAAAUGCAUAAAAUUGCUUAAAAUUCUAUUUUAUUUCCUAAAGGGCAUAUACUGUAAAUAUAAAAUAAAUAAUACAUUUUAUAAAAUAUUACAAAUAUUAUUUAAUAUUAGUAAAUAUUAAAUUAAGUCAUAAAUGUUAUUCCUGAGAUUAUAAAUUAUAUGGAAAAAAUAUAUAAUAAAGAAUAUAAAUAGGUUUGUUUUUUUUUCGACACAUAAAAAAUAAAAUCUCUCUAAAUUAAAUUUAUAUUGAACUGAAAUCCAGAUAACUAAUGUAGGCAAAACUAUCUAACAUUUUUCAACUCAAUAUCAUAUAUUUCAGAUAUUAUUACAGCUUGGCUAAUUAAGCCUCAAGUUUGCAAUUUUAUUUUCAUUUCACUACUGUGUGGAGUUUAGUGAAAAGUGCUAUUUAUUUUAUUUAGUGUGAAUAGUGCUAUUUUUUAUUUAUAUGCGAAAGGAUGAAUAAGUGUACAUAAAUGAAUAAGUGGAUUUAUUGGCCUUAUAGAUUUAUGUAAGAUAGUUAUGUAGUGUAAGCAGGAUCAACUUUGCUGUCAGAUUGCAAUGCGGUAGUCGCCUGAUUUUUUUUUUUUUUUUUAAAGAGGUUUGCUUUAACUUUCGUAGGUGAGCUCAUGCUUUAUAGAGGAGACUUUUUUAGAAGAGGGAACGUUCCUAAUUUCUUCAUCCCUGUAAAUGCUGUUUUAGUGUUCAAAAGUGUUAGACACUUUUGCUCAGUAAAAACCAAAGAAAAAAGUUACCUGCGCUCUCGCCCCUAUCAAUAUUUAAACAAAUGGAGGUUAUUUAGUUACUCCAAUGGCCAUUGGAGGGAAUGCCCACCUGCCACGUCAAGUCAGACCUCUCAGGUGGGUCCUACACUAAGCUUUCACCUUGCUUCCUUGAGCCUCUGGCAAAUAUAUCUCUAAUGAGACAGAAAGGGGUAUUUUUUAUUUACACCCCUAUAUACUUAUUAACCCUAUAGAGAACACAUGAGAUGGGCGGCAGCAUUGUAACAUAGCUCAGUAUGUAAGUUAAACAAUAGAUAUCUGGCACAUAAUGUGGUUAUACUAGCAAGAUCACAGUUCCUCUUUAAUAGUAGUAUGAGUAAACGUCUACUAUCAGUGGUGGUGAGUUUGUCAGUGUGGUAAGGAAACUAAUUAUUAGUGUGUUAGACAUGAUUAAAUCUGCAGUCCCCCCUCCCCCCCCCCUCCCUUUAGUAGUGACUAGAGAUACUGUUGUGGGGCUGGCCAAUUAGUCAUGUUAACAUUUUGGGAUAUUUUUGAAACAAGAAUUACAUUUUCUGAGUAUAUAGUCUUGCAUUAGGUCAUGAGAUCACAUAUGCCCUAAAAGACAGGAUCAUGUAAAUAAUCAGUGGGUGGGAUUUACAAUAAGACGAUUAUUUUCUUUAAUAUUAUUUCUUUUAUACUGGUUAUUGAAUAUUUUUCUUUCUCAAACUAGUGUAUGAAGUCCCAGAAGAAAUUAAUCGGAAACAUCAAGGGGUAAAAUAUAUUUACUAUGUUUUUAUAUACGUGUUUAUCAGUGGCAGGACAAAUAUAGAGAGGGCUUUGGUGCAAUAAUUUGUAUAGGCCCCGCCUAUCGCAAGAGUGGCUAAAAGGUAGAUGCCCAUCCGUAAUACUUUGACAGCUAGGGCUUUACCAUACUACUAUCCCGGCAGGGUUGUAUUUAGUACUGAACAGUGUUUGUGUGUGAACAUAAUCAGGUUUUUGUAUGUUUGUGUUAAUGUAGGUAGGGGUAUGAUUGUAUGUAGUGUUGGCGUGAGUGCGUUUGUAUGUAGUGAUGACGUUUGAAUGCUGCCAUGUAUGCACAGAUUAACCUGCACUGUGAUUCACAUGCACACACACACACACAGAUAUGCACACUGACACACAUACAGACACACAUUAACACACAUGCAGAUGCAUGGAUACACAUACUGACCCAUGCAAAGAUAAAGACACACAGAUAAACACACUGACACAUAUGCAGAUAUACAGAAACACACAUACACAUACAUACAGACAACAUACAGAUACACAGACCUAUACUGAUACACAUACGGACACACUGACAGAUAUACAGACAAACACACACACUGACACACAUGCAAACUGACACAGAUACACAUAUUGAUAUACACUGAUACACAUGCAGAUACACAGACACAUGGAUAUAUAAACAUACAGACAUCAUACACAUACAGACACACGUUAACAUACAGAUACACACCGACAGAUAUAUAGACACACAAAAUGACAGACAUACAGAUACACGCACUAAGACAUAGAAAUACACACACAGACACACAUGCUGGCAAAAAUUUACACUUUUAUAGCCAUCCUCCAGAGGGUGUGCUUGCUCAGGAAGUUGGGCAUUAGGGUUUUUCUGUCCCUGCCUCUCUGGCUUCUCCUCCUCCCUUCCGCGUGGCUCCUAGUCUCUCUGGGAGGAAGUAACUGCCUAAUACAAAAUUCACUAUUUAGUAGAUAUGCCACCAUUGAAAACAUGCAUGCAAUAUAUUAUACAUUUUUUUUCAUGGGGGUAUAUCUAAAAACAGUUUGGAAACUUUACAAAUCUCUCAUCUGCAGCUUUUGCAAGCAAGUCUCUUCUACCCCUGUCCAAACUUUCUGUGACUGUCAAAUCUGAGACUUCCCAUUGCAAAGUCAUUGCAAGGUAGGUGCUCUGUGCAAUGAGCUGAGCUACCAGGAAGUAACAGGACUGGUUGUCUGAUUGACAGUCAAGGGGUGUAAAAGGGUUAAAUUAUAAAAGUGAUCUUUAACUAAAGAGUAAAUUGCUGGGAAUUUAAAGUAAGUUUCAAAGUUUAGUCCAAAUCAAGCUAUGCUAAUUUAUUAUUUUAUAUUAUUGAUAAGAUCCACAUCCAUGGUGGCUAUAAUAUUAAUAAAUUAAGAAAACUAUGGGUGGGGACUCUAAAAUUAAAAACAGGGAAGGAACCUAUGCCCACCUCCAUUUCCCAAUUUAGUGGAUGCAAGUGAUUGCUAUAUUAUUAAAUGGGGGGGACCUAAUGUCCCCCCUAUGGUAGGUGAAUUGGGGAUCUAAUAUUGCUAACAAAGAGGGAACUGAAACGGAUCCCCUAUACUCCGGCUGAGUAUAUGCGUUAUAUAUCCCGAGUCCCAAGUGCAGUAGUGAUUAUAGCCCAAGUUCCCCAAACAUCAGCCUAGACAUGAUGAAGUGUAAAAAGAAUCUGUUUCAUCUGGCCAACUAGCCCACUAAUAUACAAAAUCAGGAGGCUGGAAAACACGCCCAGAACACUCCCACAAUACGCCCACAAAAUGGUUACAAAUUCCAGAAUCAGCAUGACUAGGCAUGAAAAACAAAUUAUCAAAAACACAUAAAAAUAUUCAUAAAACAUAUAGGAACCCCCAUAAAUAUUACAUCCCUGGAUAGCUUGGAUUUGAGCUCCCAAGUUGUCCAAAUAGUGCUCAGAUCCCAAGAACACAGCCGAAUCGUCACCGGGGUAAAGUUUUGACCGACCGCACAUGAGGUGUCAGCUCAAAUAAGUUCCAGGGAUUCAGUGGUAGCAGCUAGUCACUUUCGGGAGUUCCAUAUUACCAAACUCAUCCUUUGGCUUGUUGGUAGCAUUUGUUCGUAUGGUUCAUAUGAACAAACCUACUGAACGGCGCUCUCCUGACAUGUGUGAAUAAGAAGCAGUCGUUCGUCAAAGUUCAUCUGUGUUCAGGAGUAACAGUGUCUGAUUGUAGUUCCAUGAACUCAACGACCGAACACUGCUGCCUGCAUUCUUGCAAACAUGAUGGCUGCCAACUCAGUUCCCACAUGUUCGUGCAUGUCACCCAGCCGAACAAUUAGAACCCUUGAUGAUUGAGGUGUCAGGAGAGGUCAAUAUGCAUUAAGAAGCACAGAGGUGGUCCGCAGUUCCUGAGUCUGUUUGGAUCCCAAAUAGUACAAAUAAACCCCACAAUUCAAAUCUUACAGGUCCUUUCCAUGGCCCAUAGUCCUGGGGCAGGAGGCUAGCUAGCAGGCUCCUCCAGGAGCUCGUGCCGAAGGCAAGUGUCACAAAAUCCUAAUUAAAUAUACUCUGGGAUGGAUAUGCCACUGUCCACACACUCUGAAAAUGUGUCCAUUACCAAUAAAAAACAAAACUACCUAACCCAUUCACCCUAAUAAUAAUGACUAAUACCUACCAUAUAAAAAUUAAUUAUAACCAAUGUGGCUAUUAAAAAUAAAAAAACAAAUAAUCCUUAGUAUCACCCUUCAUUCCAUUACCAAAAAUGUAAUUAGUUUUAAUUUAACCAUUAUGCCUCUUCACUUUAAUGAUUUAAUUAAUGGUAAGAAUGGAAUAGAUCUGUACACCCUCCCUUAUUCUUUAAAUUGAAGCCACCAGCUCAUGGGUGGUGCCACAGUUGGACCUUAUUAGCAAGUGGGCAGCAGUAGCUACCCAGUCUCUAGUUUACUGUUACAGUGAGCGCAUGUUAACAGAUAUGCCCACGCAUGGUGAGUGGGACAAUGAAGGAGGGAUAAAACCUCCCUUGUACUAAUAUGAAGGGCAUAUUAACUAUCACAGGCUUUUUAAAUAAUCUGCAUAUAUAUUUUUUUAAUGACCUGCACAAGUUUAAGUGGUUAACCAUACAAAAAUAUACAAUGUUCAGUGAGUAUUCAUUUAUAAAUGUAUGCUUGGAUCAUUAUAACUAGAUAAAACAGGCAUAGCAGUGGUAGCUAGUAACUUUUCAAGUUGGUGCGGUGCCAGACUGGACAAAGUCAAAUACAUAUGUAUUGAUUCAAAUACAUAUGUAUUUGACUUUGUCCAGUCUGGCACCGCACCAACUUGAAAAGUUACUAACAAACCAGUAACCAACCUCAUGCUGAUGAGUUGCAUUAACAAUGAAACAGCUGUCCAUGAGUGGUUCACUGGUUUUGCAUCUUUUCCUAUAUUGUGUUCCAAGCAGUUGUAUACAGCAAACACAGAUUAAAAGGAAUCCAUGUUUAAAAUGGAAGGAGGCAAAAAUGUGAUUCUUUGUUAAACUAAUUUGCAUAUGCCCACCCAGAAUCCUUUGCGGUUGUAACAUCGCUGCAGUUUGGGGAUUUCUGUGGGAAAAGCAAGUCUUAUGUCUUGACUGGUGUGCAGAUUUUUGUUUAAUAUAUAUAUAUAUAUAUAUAUAUAUAUAUAUAUAUAUAUAUAUAUAUUUUUUUUUAAUAGGAAUAUUUCUAUAUGACUCUCCUACCUCCAAAUAUGUGGAUUAUACCAUAUAUAGGGAAUAAACCAUAAUGACAUUUUCUAUCGUAACAAUGAGUCAAAUAAAUAGGCUAUUUGGGGCUAAACUCAAAUUACAAGUGUAAUACAGAGUUUGGCCCCUAGGUGCCGACAAAUAAUUAUUUUUCAAUUUCUUUUACUCUUUUAACGGUAAAAUGCAAGAGAAAAUAUAUAUUGCAUUAGAUACCAUGUAUUCCGAUUUUUGGUUAUAAAAGGAGGAGAUUCUCCUGAUAAGAAAAUUUAAUAAUAAUAAUUAUAAUACAAUAAAUAAGCAGCUUUACAGUGGCCAGACUACUUUAGUGACAGGUGCCUACUAUUGGAGUGGUGCCUGUCACUGGCCACACUACCCUCUGGGCCUUGGAGAUCUAUUUUAAUCCUAUUAGGGCAGGCGCCCAGUUGAAGCAGUGCCAGCCUUAAUAAGGUCCUUCAGACAUGCGGAGGUUGCUGUUCGAGGAGAGAGAAAUCAUUUCAUAUUAGCAGUGCCCGCUUUAUGGAGUUUAUUCAAAUGUUUGGCAGCCUGAGGGCACACAUUCAAACCACUCCUUCCUGAUUCCCUUUCUGUUUCCUUCCCCAUUCUAAAUCUGACCCCAGUUCCAUUUUCUUUCACCUAUAUCUUUAGCCAACUUCAGCCUUUUCUUCUCUUCCAUGUACUUUCAAGUCAAAUUUUAUUUUCGCUAAUAUCGUUUGUAACAAACAAUCCUUUUAAUUAUUUAUUUAUAUUUCCAAGUUUCUAACCAUUUAUCACUAACAAAGUGGGGCCAUUGUUUCAGAUUCAACUUUAUUCUCACUGUAUAACUUUACCAUCACUGUAUCCUACAAGGGCAAUGAAACACGGUUGGCCUCUGAUCAGAAAUAAAGUAGUGAUUGAUAAAAAUACUAUAUAAAAAAUGUACUCUCAGUGCAGGCUUUAGCAAUCCUUAACUAAUACCAUAGUACCUCUAAUCACUAAUAAAUACAGUCCUGAGCUAAACAACCAGGAAGUAACGGGACAGACUGUCUGAUUGACAGCCAGGGGGAUUUUAAGAAGGUUAAUUUAUAAAAGUGCCAAUUUCUACUGAAAUGUGAACUGUUUGAAAAAUAAAAAAAGGAGGGCCCAAUCCACACAUAAAGCACAUUAACAAGCAGAAUUGUAGAUCCAAUCCUUAAACGUCUGUUUGCUUACUUUGUUAAAGUUACAUUUCAACAACAUUGCAUGGUAAUUUUAUUUGUUUUAUGUGUAUUGCUAAUGCUCUUUAAUAAAAAUUACAAAAAUUCAAAAUAAAAAAAAUUUCAAAAAAUGGAAGCCUCCAAUUAUCAGUUGCCAAAUGUUUACUCUUGUGACAAGGAAACUACUAGCAAUUUCUUCCUAGUGCAAUGAACAAACCACUGUCACCGGGGGAACAGUCUAAGGAAGGUGCUUUAUAAAAUGAAUGUUACUAUAUUAUAACAAAUGUGUAAUGGAUCACUGAGGUAGUUAUUUUACUAAAUGUACCGUGUCACUUAACUAGUUUUAAAACUUAAGAUUGGUUGCCAAGAUUUAAAUGCCAUGUAUAGCAUUGUUUUCCUGUCAAACCACUGGUCUAACCGAUGAGGGCAUUGGUAUCCUUAACAAUUGGUCUAUUGCGUUCCAGACAUAUAUUACUAGUCCUUUAAACAAUUGAUUAAGUUUUUGUUUAGUAAUAUUUCAAUAUGACUGGAUAUUUCCCUGUUUUUUAAAGGACGAUCACCUGCUCUACUCAACAGUGAAUCACUCAGCAUCUUCUGGUCCUUCCAUACCCAAACAUCAGCCUGUUGUUGCUCCAGAUCUUGUCUACGCUGCUGUCAAAAUCAACUGACUUUAUUUUUACCAACUUAAACAGGAAUUUACAGCUAAAAUUCUCAAGUAGAGUUGAUAUGGCUGUUGUAGGUCUUACAGAAACCACAUUGCUAUGUAUUUCCAAAUUUGGGGAAUUUUGGUAUUGGUUCUGUUGCAGGAUUAUACAUAUAUAUAUGUGUGUGUGUGUGUGUGUGUGUGUGUGUAUGUGUGUG